AUCAGUUGCAGGAGCACAGGACUACUGGUUUUUCUGAUGUACUGUACAGUGAUGAGUGUACAAUUGAAUUCGAAUCCCACAGGAGAUUUUCAUGAAGGAAAAUAGGUGCCCCCGAAACCAAAACCAAGAGCAAAACACCCCUAUAAGGUACAUGCAUGGGCAGGUAUAAGUUGCCAAGGAAAGACGCCAAUUGUGCUGUUUGAAGAAAAAA
rnacentral:lncRNA from 1 species